rnacentral:rRNA from 1 species
GACCAAGAGACCGGCGCACGGGUGCGUAACGCGUAUGCAAUCUACCUUUUACAGAGGGAUAGCCCAGAGAAAUUUGGAUUAAUACCUCAUAGCAUAGCAGCUUCGCAUGAAGCCACUAUUAAAGUCACAACGGUAAAAGAUGAGCAUGCGUCCCAUUAGCUAGUUGGUAAGGUAACGGCUUACCAAGGCUACGAUGGGUAGGGGUCCUGAGAGGGAGAUCCCCCACACUGGUACUGAGACACGGACCAGACUCCUACGGGAGGCAGCAGUGAGGAAUAUUGGACAAUGGGCGCAAGCCUGAUCCAGCCAUGCCGCGUGCAGGAUGACGGUCCUAUGGAUUGUAAACUGCUUUUAUACAGGAAGAAACACUCCGACGUGUCGGAGCUUGACGGUACUGUAAGAAUAAGGAUCGGCUAACUCCGUGCCAGCAGCCGCGGUAAUACGGAGGAUCCAAGCGUUAUCCGGAAUCAUUGGGUUUAAAGGGUCCGUAGGCGGUUUAAUAAGUCAGUGGUGAAAGCCCAUCGCUCAACGGUGGAACGGCCAUUGAUACUGUUAGACUUGAAUUAUUAGGAAGUAACUAGAAUAUGUAGUGUAGCGGUGAAAUGCUUAGAGAUUACAUGGAAUACCAAUUGCGAAGGCAGGUUACUACUAAUGGAUUGACGCUGAUGGACGAAAGCGUGGGUAGCGAACAGGAUUAGAUACCCUGGUAGUCCACGCCGUAAACGAUGGAUACUAGCUGUUGGAAGCAAUUUCAGUGGCUAAGCGAAAGUGAUAAGUAUCCCACCUGGGAGUACGUUCGCAAG